AUGUCAGGGAGUAACAGGGAGGACAGGUCAGGGAGUAACCUGGAGGACAGGUCAGGGAGUAGCCUGGAGGACAGGUCAGGGAGUAACAGNNNNNNNNNNCCAUCUGUAGCCUGCAAGGCAAACCUCUCACAUUCCACUUUUCACAUUCACCUGUUACAUUAUUCCAUGUCUGUUUUUUGUGUAGCAACAACAGCAAAACAUUACUCUCUGACAAGAGUAACAAAUACCUUCAAAGUAAAUCAUGCAAACAAUUUAAAGAAGAAUACCUCUCUCACUCUCUUCAAAAUAAUUCAGACCAGAGAGUUGAAAUCAUGAUGGGAAUUGAUUGUGGCACUGUCCCACUUCGCUAGGUCUCCUUUCUCAGUCUCAUCAUUUUUUGAUAGAAACAUAGGCUUUUAGAUAAUACUCAGAUUGUGCUGGUGCCUUUGUUGCUCCUUUACAUACAGAAGAAUACUACGUAAAAACACAUGAUUAUCACAGAACACUUUCAGGACAUUUAAAUACAGGGAAUGUAUAAUAUCAACUCUGUAUGUUUAUUUUAUGCAUAUUCACCAGGAUAUAUUGUAAAAGUACAUAUACUGUAUAAUGUAUGAUACAAUAUAAGCUUAAUAUAGUAGCUGGCAGGUUAUUAUAAAACGUCUGCCAUAAGUUUACUAUGAAUAUGAAUAAAAUACUUCUUAUAUUCUUGAUAUUUCAUCGUACAAUGACGCUUACAACAGUACACAAGAGGAAGAGGAGCAUGUCCGACAGACUAUUGUAAAAUACUGUAAAAAUAUAUAUAAAAAAACAAGAACAUUCAGGGUCUGCCUGGUGAGUGUUAUAUAGGUCUUAUAAACAAGUGCCCUAUACAUAUACACAUAGAUUAAGGGAGUAACAGGGAGGACAUGUCAGGGGGCAACAGGGAGGACAGGUCAGGGAGUAACAGGGAGGACAGGUCAGGGAGGACAUGUCAGGGAGUAACAGGGAGGACAGGUUAGGGAGUAACAUGGAGGACAGAUCAGGGAGUAACAUGGAGGGCAGGUCAGGGGAUAAUAUGGAGGACAGGUCAGGGAGUAACAUGGCGGACAGGUCAGGGAGUAACAUGGAGGACAGGUCAGGGAGUAACCUGGAGGACAGGUCAGGGAGUAGCCUGGAGGACAGGUCAGGGAGUAACAG
rnacentral:lncRNA from 13 species